GAUGAACGCUGGCGGCGUGCCUAAUACAUGCAAGUCGAGCGAACGGACGAGAAGCUUGCUUCUCUGAUGUUAGCGGCGGACGGGCGAGUAACACGUGGAUAACCUACCUAUAAGACUGGGAUAACUUCGGGAAACCGUAGCUAAUACCGGAUAAUAUUUUGAACCGCAUGGUUCAAAAGUGAAAGACGGUCUUGCUGUCACUUAUAGAUGGAUCCGCGCUGCAUUAGCCAGUUGGUAAGGUAACGGCUUACCAAGGCAACGAUGCAUAGCCGACCUGAGAGGGUGAUCGGCCACACUGGAACUGAGACACGGUCCAGACUCCUACGGGAGGCAGCAGUAGGGAAUCUUCCGCAAUGGGCGAAAGCCUGACGGAGCAACGCCGCGUGAGUGAUGAAGGUCUUCGGAUCGUAAAACUCUGUUAUUAGGGAAGAACAUAUGUGUAAGUAACUGUGCACAUCUUGACGGUACCUAAUCAGAAAGCCACGGCUAACUACGUG
rnacentral:rRNA from 1 species